UACGUAGGGGGCGAGCGUUGUCCGAAGUUACUGGGCGUAAAGCGCGCGUAGGCGGUCCUUUAAGUCUGAGGUGAAAGGUUCAGCGCUCAACGUGAACAGUGCCUUGGAGACUGGGGGACUUGAGUGUGGGAGAGGGCAGUGGAAUUCCUGGUGUAGCGGUGAAAUGCGUAGAUAUCGAGAGGAACACCUGCGGCGAAGGCGGGUUGCUGGGCUGAUACUGACGCUGAUGCGCGAAAGCCAGGGGAGCGAACGGG
rnacentral:rRNA from 1 species